rnacentral:rRNA from 1 species
UAUGGCUCAGAACGAACGCUGGUGGCGUGUCUAUACAUGCAGGUCGAGCGAGGCAGCAAUGCCGAGCGGCGAACGGGUGAGUAACGCGUAAGCAAUCUGCCCCAUAUCAGGAAAUACCCGUGCCAACGCGCGGUUAAUGUCCAGGAGAGUGGCCCUCUGCAUGGAGGGUUGACUAGAGAUUUAUCGGUAUGGGAUGAGCUUGCGUCCGAUUAGCUAGUUGGCGGGGCAACGGCCCACCAAGGCGACGAUCGGUAGCCGGCCUGAGAGGGUGAUCGGCCACAUUGGGACUGAGAUACGGCCCAGACUCCUACGGGAGGCAGCAGUAGGGAAUAUUGCACAAUGGGGGAAACCCUGAUGCAGCAACGCCACGUGUGGGAAGAAGCAUUUCGGUGUGUAAACCACUGUCAUGAGGGAAUAAGGCCCGCCUUCGGACGGGAUUGAAUGUACCUUGAGAGGAAGCACCGGCAAACUUCGUGCCAGCCGCAGC